GUGCUCACCUUGGCAGCACAUAUGCUAAAAUUGGAAUGAUACAGAGAUUAGCGUGGCCUCUGCACAAGGAUGACAUGCAAAUUCGCGAAGGUGUCUUUUACAAAAUAUAU
ensembl:snRNA U6 U6 spliceosomal RNA